rnacentral:rRNA from 1 species
UCCUCUGAGCUAAUACCUCGGGGGGAGUGACGGUACCUGAAGAAUAAGCACCGGCUAACUACGUGCCAGCAGCCGCGGUAAUACGUAGGGUGCGAGCGUUAAUCGGAAUUACUGGGCGUAAAGCGUGCGCAGGCGGUUGUGCAAGACAGGUGUGAAAUCCCCGGGCUUAACCUGGGAACUGCACUUGUGACUGCACAGCUGGAGUGCGGCAGAGGGGGAUGGAAUUCCGCGUGUAGCAGUGAAAUGCGUAGAUAUGCGGAGGAACACCGAUGGCGAAGGCAAUCCCCUGGGCCUGCACUGACGCUCAUGCACGAAAGCGUGGGGAGCAAACAGGAUUAGAUACCCUGGUAGUCCACGCCCUAAACGAUGUCAACUGGUUGUUGGACGGCUUGCUGUUCAGUAACGUAGCUAACGCGUGAAGUUGACCGCCUGGGGAGUACGGCCGCAAGGUUG